rnacentral:rRNA from 1 species
GUUAGCAGUAAUGCGAAGCGUUGAAUUGAAGCCCGAGUAAACGGCGGCCGUAACUAUAACGGUCCUAAGGUAGCGAAAUUCCUUGUCGGUUAAAUACCGACCUGCAUGAAUGGCGUAACGAGAUGGGAGCUGUCUCAACCAGGGAUUCAGUGAAAUUGUAGUGGAGGUGAAAAUUCCUCCUACCCGCGGCAAGACGGAGAGACCCCGUGGACCUUUACUACAGCUUGGCACUGCCGAUGGGAGCAUUAUGCGCAGGAUAGGUGGGAGGCUUUGAAAUCUUCACUCUGGUGGAGAUGGAGCCAUCCUUGAGAUACCACCCUUAAUGUUUCUGUCUGCUAACUGGCUAGAGUUAUCCUCUAGCAGGACAAUGCCUGGUGGGUAGUUUGACUGGGGCGGUCGCCUCCUAAAAAGUAACGGAGGC